AUGUACAAGAAGAAGAACACGCCGCUGGAGCAAAUCCUGCUGCGCCCGGACACCCACGUCGGCUCGGUCGAGAAGCACACGCAGACGCUCUGGGUCUACAAGGAAGGUGCCAUGGUGCAUAGCCCCGUCACCUACGUCCCCGGCCUCCACAACAUCUUCGACGAGAUCCUCGUCCAGGCCGCCGAUAACUUGCAGCGCGACCCCUCCAUGGACUCCCUCCGGGUCGACAUCGACGUCGAGCGGUGCUGUAUCUCUGUCUACAACAAUGGAAACGGCAUGCCCGUCGAAAUCCACCAGGAGGAGGGCCUCUACGUGCCGGAGAUGAUGCGAAUGAGCUACGGCGCCGUACUCGCCAACAUCUUCUCCACCGAGUUCGUCAUCGAGACCGCUGAUGGGCGCCGGCAGAAGAAGUUCAAGCAGGUUUUCUCUGAAAACAUGGGGAAGAAGUCGGAGCCUGAGAUUACAGAGUGUGAGCCGUCAGAUAACUGGACCAGAGUUACCUUCAAGCCUGACCUUGCGAAAUUCAACAUGACCGUGCUCGAAGAUGAUGCCGUGGCGCUCAUGAGGAAGCGAGUUGUUGAUAUGGCGGGCACCCUUGGCGAAACCGUGAAGGUUGAGUUGAAUGGUGAGAAGUUGUCGGCAAAAAGCUUCUCAGAUUACGUGCAACUGUAUAUUGACUCUGCUUCAAAAGAAGGAAUCGAGCUACCAAGAAUUUACCAAAGGGUAAACGAUCGUUGGGAGGUGUGUGUCAGUCUAAAUGAAGGCCAGUUUCAUCAGGUUAGUUUUGUAAAUCGAAUUGCGACCUUAAGAGGUGGAACUCAUGUUGACUACGUUGCAGACCAAAUUGCCAACCAUGUGAUGGGCGUUGUGAACAAGAGGAACAAGCAUGCUAACAUGAAAUUGCAUACGGUGAAGGGCUACCUAUGGGUAUUUGUUAAUGCGCUCAUUGAUAACCCUGCAUUUGAUUUACAGACCAAAGAGACCUUGACCACUCAUCAAGGAACCUUUGGGUCCAAGUGCGAGCUCUCUGAAGAUUUCCUUAACAGAGUCUCCAACUCGGGUGUUGUCAACAAGCUCCUUUCUUUUGCUGAGUUCAGACUAAGCAAGGGACUACAUAAGACUGAUGGAAGCAAGAGGAAAGUUUUGUUGCCAUCCCUAAGCUAG
rnacentral:rRNA from 1 species